rnacentral:rRNA from 1 species
ACGAACGCUGGCUGCGUGCCUAAUACAUGCAAGUAGAACGCUGAAGAGAGGAGCUUGCUCUUCUUGGAUGAGUUGCGAACGGGUGAGUAACGCGUAGGUAACCUGCCUUGUAGCGGGGGAUAACUAUUGGAAACGAUAGCUAAUACCGCAUAACAAUGGAUGACACAUGUCAUUUAUUUGAAAGGGGCAAUUGCUCCACUACAAGAUGGACCUGCGUUGUAUUAGCUAGUAGGUGAGGUAAUGGCUCACCUAGGCGACGAUACAUAGCCGACCUGAGAGGGUGAUCGGCCACACUGGGACUGAGACACGGCCCAGACUCCUACGGGAGGCAGCAGUAGGGAAUCUUCGGCAAUGGGGGCAACCCUGACCGAGCAACGCCGCGUGAGUGAAGAAGGUUUUCGGAUCGUAAAGCUCUGUUGUAAGUCAAGAACGGGUGUGAGAGUGGAAAGUUCACACUGUGACGGUAGCUUACCAGAAAGGGACGGCUAACUACGUG